GACACAAACAAAACCUCAUUUGAUGCGCCGUGCCCCAUGGCCCCUGAUCUUAAAACGUGAUGAUUAGCAAUCACAACGACUUUCUUUUUCAACGUUCAUAACUGCUGAGCAUUUAAAAACUACAUUGUAUUUAAAAAUGACACGACGUUUUUUAUUUUCGAAAGCAGAAAAGAGUAGUACCAUUCACGUUGGCGGCCGUUUCGAUUUCUUGCUUGUAAAGGAGUCGUGUCGUUUUUUUAAACUGGUUCACAAACCAUUAAAGUGUUUUUGUUCACAUUAUUUCGGACAUGACGAAGGCCUCCAUUAAUCGUGAUGGUUCACCAUAAAAACCGAUGUCCUUUCGGUUCUCACCCACCUUGACUCUGUAGAUGGUUUAAAGCUCAUCGAGUGCGAUGCUAAGUGUGAAGAGCUCAUCUUGUUUGGUUUGAAGUGUCAAAAAGGAGUUAGCGGGUGAUUUCCAAGAAACGGAGCUUAAUUUCACACCUGCCUCAUUUCAACCCAAUAAAUAGAAGUCCAGUGAGCGUCUCAGACACAACUUUCUGAACAGCCGGACUCUACCAGACUUAAACUCGCAAACAGCGCAAAGGGGAAAGGAUGAGAUCUGCAGUUCUGUUCUUCCUCUUCUUCUCCCUGGCUCUCGGUGAUGGAGCGAAUCACCAGGACAUCAGCCGAUACGAGGAGUUCAAGAGAAAACACAUUCUCCCGGCUGGUUUUCAAACAAAUAAUGAAACUGUUUGGGUGAACCACCUGGUGAACAAUAAUCUCUGUGACAGAACUAAAGGAGGAACCCAGUCCUUCAUUGAGGACACAGAAAGAAAUAUAAUUGCUAUCUGCAAUGGCUCUGGUAUUGUAACAAACGAUAACUACGUCAGAAGUACAAAUCUUUUCCAACUGUACAUAAUUAUAAGCAGAAUGUUAACCGAGUGCGUCAUCGAAAAAUGCCGUAAAGGCAAAUAUUAUGUAACUGUUGAAUGUGAGAACAACCGACCUGUGCAUUUUCAUGGGCAACGCAUUCAAAAUGGAACAAAAGGGGGCAUUUGCUAUUACCCAGAAUGAUUGAAUUUCAUUUGGGUUGAAAUGUUCAAUAAUAACUUUGCUGUGCUUAAUGCAUGUUUAAAUGAUAUAAUUCCAGAAAUGAUUAUUUGUUUUGCACAAACAAACUGAUCAAAUGUACUGCUUGAAUGCAAGUCGCUUUGAAUAAAAUCUGCCAAACGCA